rnacentral:lncRNA from 10 species
GCGUUGGGUCCCAGGUCUGCUGGGAUCUUUCUGGUAACCGUGGACAGGUCAUGUUGCCUGCUGCAGCAGCUUCCAGCGUGCCUCCUUAUUUGCAAACCAUAGGGAAAGCUGCCUGACCCACCUAGAGAGUUGUGGGUAAGGCCGUGUGCAAACAGGCCUGUACGGGGCAUGGUGGGUCACGGGGGCUGUUGGGGAGGAGGGCCGGUGGCACACAGCCUGGUCCUGAGGCCUGAGCUCCAUCCCCCUUCUGCCACAGUGGCCAGGGUGUGAGGAGGGUCCCAGUGCCGGGGCUGCCCCGCCACGCCUGGCGUUCACCGUGCCAUCUCUGUCGCGCAGGGCCGAGAACUACUGGUGGCGUGGCCAGAACACACGGACGCUGUGUGUGGGGCCCUUCCCUCGCAACGUGGUGACCUCCGUGGCCGGCCUGUCGGCCCAGGACAUCAGCCAGCCCCUGCAGAACAGCUUCAUCCACACAGGGCAUGGCGACAGUGACCCCCGCCACUGCUGGGGCUUCCCGGACAGGAUUGACGAGACACCCCCCAGCUGAGACGUGCGGUCAGGUUCUGUGGACUGGGAGGCGGGAGGCCUGUGCUUCAGACCCAAGACUACACCCGGUUUCCUCCAGGACGAAGGGGCUCUGAUGAGAUUCUGCCACCCCUCCACACGCUUCCCCUGCUCUCUUGACCCAGCUCUCUCCCCCACAGACUGUAUCUGGGAAACCCCAUGGACCCCCCCGA